AGUAGUAGACAUUUAGUAAUAUGGUCUAAUAGCAUUCUUUUUCACUUAUAAUUAAUAAGUCUUAGGUUCAAAUCUUGGAAACGAAGAGUUCGCAACCAAUUUAUACUCGCACCGCCAUAAUGUAAAUAUAUCGUUGUAUCAAAUAAAAAAGUUUAGAGUAAUAAUAUUUGAGUUAAAUUGUAGCAUUAGUCAGUUUGAUUUUCGUUCCUGAACUCUAAUAAUAGUUGCUAAUGUUCUCGAUUUAUGUCAUGUAUUGCACUUAUGAUAUUUCUGUUGACUGUAAGUUGAGGUAUAAAGUAAGAAUUUUAUCAAAACAAAUGAGAAAAUUUUUAAAUAAGAAUUGUUUUUCAUAUGGAAAAAAAAAAAAAAAAAAAGUCAAUUCAACUAUAAACAAUAAGACUUUAUGUAUAUAUAAAAAAUAAAAAAUAAAAAAAUAAAAAAAAGGCAUCUAUAUAGUUCAACAAAAAAGCUUAAGGUCAAUACAUAAAAAGCCCAAACCCAUUUUUCAAAAUUUUCAUUAAUUUAAAAAAUACCUUUACUUAAUCAAAACUAACAGCAUAAACAUGAUGUUUGAAAAAUUAAAUUAUAUUAGAUAAAGAAACAAAUUUUUAAUUAAAAAAAAUGUAAAGAAUUUAGGAGGGCAUGUGUAAAAAUUUUAAUCAUAUUAGAUUUUUGAUUUUGUCUCAUUUUUUUUAUGAAAAAAAAUGUGUAUGCAGAAUGUGUCUGCAAAAAUACCAAACAAAACCAACUUGUCUCAUUUUAAAUAAUUUUUAGAAUCGUAUUUUAUUUAAGGGUAAAUCUUAGUUUACUACCAUCAAGUUUCGUGGUUUUCAACAUUUGGUACAUAAAGUUUUUUUCGUCCCAGAGUCAUACUUAAAGUGUUAAUUUUCGGACAAUCUCAUACAUCUGUUUGGCUGUUAAGUCCCCCGUUAACAAAUGGUGUGGGGCGCCAUAUGGACAAUGACUAGGUGCUAUGUGCCAUUAAAGGGUCAAUGUGGAAAUUCAAAAUUCAAAAAAAAAAAAAAAAACCCACCCAUCUUCUACAUGCCCCCAACCCUCUCCCUCCCUUCUUUCCUCUACAACCCGUACCCUCCCUUCUCCCUUCUCUCCUUUACAACCCUCAUCUCACCGCCGCAGUGGUGGUGACCAAUUUGCAGAACAAGUCGAAAAUGUGCUUUAUGGCGAUCCAGCUCCGCCUCCCCUCCAGCCGCCCACAGGGGAUUCUAAACAUUGGGCUCGGCCUCCUAGAUAGCACAAUGCGGAGCAUGCCUGCUCUACAUCGAGCUCAACUCCUCCACCAUCGGGUACUAGGAUCUGAUGGAGGGAAAAACCAACAACCACCAAAAAUCGGACAUGGCUGCUUCUUCGAGUUCAUCUGCAGUUUGACAGUAUGCCUACAUCAACUUUGUCUUUAGGGAUUAUACAUCUGUAUCUUGUGUUACCAAGUGCUUUGGUUCUUUACUAGCUGAAUAUGCCUACAAAGACAUUUAUUGGGCAAUCGUGUUGUGUGCAUGCGUAAAGAUUGCCUGCUCUACUGGGCAUUGAUUUGGGGCACAAUGAUCAAGGAAACAACACUCUUUGGCUUUCUGAUUUGGACGCAACUAAAUUUCUAAAAUCUCAACAAUAUUCGCAAAUUCGUAGGAAAUAAUCAUUUUGUGUUGUCUGCACUAAAAUAGCAUCUCUUAGAAAAAUUGGAAUCACGGACUGUAAAAUUAUCUAUAAACUGGACAUCCAGAUCUUUCCAAGCAUAUAAGGCUCAAUAUUUGGUUCAU